UACGGGAGGGUGCGAGCGUUGUCCGGAAUUAUUGGGCGUAAAGAGCUCGUAGGUGGUUUGUUACGUCUGCUGUGAAAACCUAGGGCUUAACCCUGGGCCUGCAGUGGAUACGGGCAGACUAGAGGUAGGUAGGGGAGAAUGGAAUUCCCGGUGUAGCGGUGAAAUGACGCAGAUAAUCGGGAGGAACACCGGUGGCGAAGGCGGUUCUCUGGGCCUUACCUGACACUGAGGAGCGAAAGCGUGGGGAGCGAACAGG
rnacentral:rRNA from 1 species